ensembl:lncRNA
GGGACGGCGGCUCCGUCUCGGUUUUGGGGUGCGUUACGGACCGGUGCCGUCGCUCCCCGCCUCUCCGCGUCGCCGUGGGAGCGCGGGGCCGGGAGGAGCCGGGGCUGAGGAGGGGGAUUUGGGGUCCGAGGGGGAUUCCCGCGCGGGAGCGGGGUGGGGACGGGUCGGGGCGCGGGGUGCGGCUGGCCGCAGCCCCACAGCUCGUUGCCGAGGGCUCGAGUCGUUGUGGGGCCGUCGGAGAAGGAACGGGGCUGCGCGGUAGCCGACUCGCCGCGCCUCGCCGCUGCCCCAGGAGCCGCGCGCUUCUUCCUGCUUUUCUUUCCUUUAUUUUGUUGUUGUUUGUUUGUUUGUUUUCCUUUCCUUUUUUUGUUUCCCCCCUCUUUUUGCGCGUUAUUCCGUUGUCCUCCCCGGCUCCGCGGCGCUUUUUCGUUCCUCUCUCCGAGCGGCAUUUCUCCCGUGUCCGUGUCACGGGGAAGCGCCGCUGCCGGUACCACAGGCAGUGCCCCGUCCCCGCGUGGGCAAGAACAGGAGGGAAAAAGACCCCAUCCUCAUUUUCUCGUUGGCAACACGGUGAAAAAGAGGAAAACGAGCGUUUAACGGGGCCGGGGCUCGGCCGCUGGGCACGAACACGAGUGGCAUCGCACACGCGGGGACUCGGGAAGGAGACGUCUCUCGAGGCCCACGGAGACCGGGGGCGGGUUGUGCACGCGUGUCCCCGUCCCCGUGCCAGGUCCCUGCUUCCGACCGAGCGGGUGCCCGGCAGUGACGGGCUCUCGGGGACAGCACUCGCCAAUGACCUGCCACCGAACUCGUGUCGCCGUGCGGGGAGGGGACACGCGUGGGAACGGCCCGGGAGAGGCUCACCUCCCGGCCACGGGCAGCCCCAGCCCGGCGGGAGCGGGGCUGCACUCCGCGACCUUCCUCUACUCGUUAUUUGUAUGGUAUCGCUAUUAAUAGAUACAGGUAGAUAGAUAGAUAGCCUAUUUCUACACCCGAGCAUCCCCAGCCUCCUCCGAACCCUCCCAGCCGCAUUUCCCCUCUACCAGCCCCUCAGAAAGAGCAGCGCGUUAAGCUCCGCUUCCGCCCUUCAUUCCCACAGAUCGAUUUUUUAAUUAUUAUUAUUAUUUUAAAUUUCUAUUUUUUUUUUUUUUAUUAUUUGACUUUCGGGGAGACCGAGCGGCAUCCGACCGCCCCGAGGACGGAGCCGCGUACCCGGGCGGCAGAAGGACUCCCCACCCAAUCCGCCACCAAAGCCGGCGGCGAGCGGCCGGACCGGCAGUCACUGUCGCUGUCACCGUCGCGGCUCCUCCCGCUCCCCUGCGGGCGACUUUCCCAUCUCACGGCCGCGAUCCGAAGGCGAACUCAGCCCCGCAUCGGCUCGCCGUGUUGGCCGAUGUAUUUAUUUUUUUCCGACUUCCCCUCCGCUGCGGGGAGGGGUUGGGAGAGGGGGGGUGCGAAGGCACUUCUUUAAUUGUCCGGGCCCCUAAUGACAUGCAGAGAUGGCUCAAAGGCAGCGGACAUCAAAGCGCAAGGGAAUGGCACGUCGGGCAGGAGAGCCGCGCUGCCCCGCUUGCCAAAGGGACGUCUCCUGCCCCGAACCGCCCCGAAGGUUUCUGCUGCCGAGCGGUGCGGGCAGGCGGCCCCGGCAGGAUUGUAUGCAAAAGCGGUCGGUGGGGAUCCUAAAAAAACCGGACAGCUCAGGGUGAGAUGAGUCUAAUUAUUGCUGGUUCUAAAAAGAGCUGGAACACCCAAGUAGGGCUUAACUCGUCUCCUGGGAAACUGAUGGAGACCUAUUUUACAAGCUGUAAUUCUGCUUUAGACUAUUGCAGGCUAAAGGCAGUUGACACUAUCCUCUUUCUUCUAGAAAUAGUCCUAAUCCUAUAUUUCGGCCGGGGAAAGUCCGCUUCUGCUCCACACUAGAUUAAUCCAGAAACCACAUAAAACCAGGUAGGGAAGAGGAUGGAAAAGGGGAGGAGGAAAAUCGUUCAAAAGUUUGUUACCUCUGCCCUGCCUAACCUUCAAAAGAGUAAAUAGCGAAGGAUGAUGCAGAGUCUGCCGGCUCCUUAUUUACGGGACAGCUAAAAACGGGGCUUUGGGUGUCGGCGGGAGCGGAUUGGGGUUUAUUUUUUUGCUCUCUCGCUGCGGUCGUCUCUCAGCGAAAUAUUUCCCCUCUCUGACGGAACCCGGGGGAGGGGGGGUGGCUCUGGGCGAGAGGAAUCUCUUCCCUAUUUCUUUUUAAUGGGGGAAGGAUAAAAAUAAGCAAGAAAAAAUAAUAAAAUAGAGUGCCCCGAGUUUUCCCGCAGCCCCGGCCGGGCCGAUGGGUUUGAUGUUUAUUUCCUAUUAAAUCGCAACGCGUGGAAACUGCGACGGUUCUGAGACGGGGAGGGCCAGGAGAAUGGGGUGGUUUCCCCCCAGGGUGGGGGAUAUGGAGAACCAAGGGGGGACGCGACGCCCAGAGAGGCACAGAACCCGGCCCUAAGUGAAAGGGCGGCAGGCGCAGGGAUGCGAAUCGGGACGGGAGGAUGGAGAAGAACCGCGGCCAGCGUGGGGUGCGGCUCCGGGGUGGUGGAUGGAUGGAGAGGUGGACGGAAGGACGGAAGGAUGGAUGGAGGAUUGGAACGAGGGGUGGGUGUUACGUUUGCAGGUGCAGCUGGGUGUGAAAUUGAAUUAACAACAACAACAACAAAGUUAUAUAUAUGAGACGGUGGGGGGGGGUCCUGGAGGUCCCGCGCCGCCCCAGCCCGGCUGGCCGCUCUCCCACGCGUGCCCGAGGCAGGAGUGUGGGCCGGGGGCUGCUGCCCGCCUGGGGCAGCGCGGGGCAGCGAACGGGGCGGGCAGCGCUUCUGUCACUGGGAAUGCUUUUCCCUUUUCUUUUUCAUGCUUUCCUUUUCUGUCUCUCUUAUCAUCUGUUGUUCUUUUAUUUCUUCCUUGCCCCUCCCCUCUUUUCUCCCCUUUAUUUUCCUUUCUUUCAUUUUCUUUUCCUUUCUUUCUCUCUCCUUUUUUCCUCCAUUUCUUCGCCACGCUUUUCCUUUCAUUCCCUCUUUCCUUUCCCCUCCCCCCCUUUUUUUCCUCCAUUCCUUCCAUUUCUCACUCCUUUCCUAUUUAUUCUUUAUUUUCCCCCCUUCCCCCCAACUUUUUCCCCUUUCCCCUCUUCUCCCUCCCCUUUUUCCCUCCCCAUUUUUUACCCUUCCACCCCCAGCUCUGACCUCCCCCCGUGCCGGACAGGGCAGGGACCGGGCGGAGCAGCCGGGCGAGGCCGGCAACUUGCAGGCGGCAAGAAAGCCCUCGACGUGCGAUUUACCUUACGGAUUUCUGCAGCCGGAGCUUUGCUGCUGCCAGCCAUCUGCCUGCACGCACGGGGGAUCAGUGUCAAGGACGGAUGGGGCCAACCUCUGAGCUGUGCUGAGCGUGCUGCUGCCGUGUGUGCAUCCCCUAUGAAACCCCAGAUCCCCAUCUCUGAUUGCCUCUUUGUGUCUGUACUUGUGUGCAAUACCUGCGUUACGCUUCAGUAGACUCGGGAGCGGACAGAAGUGCUAUCUCUGCCUCGAGGAUAUUUGAGAAGAUGCUUCUCCGGGAUGGAUCCUUUUAGGAAAAAAUAAAUCGUUAAAACACUCCGGGAAAGCUGAAGAAUGAAUGAAUUUGUGGAGCUUUCUGAGGGAUGCACAUCCGUGCCAUCCUAAGGGUGAACACUCAUCCCACCCUGCAGGACCCCAGCAAUUGCCAUCCAGCACUGAGCCAUGCUACGGCGCUCUGGUCCUCCAGCACAUCCCUCCCUUUGCUGUUGCUCUGCACUACUGCAAAAUUACAGACUGGAGAUGGGGGGCUGAAAGCAGCAGCUCUGCUUCAGGGUGGCAGUGGGACGGGGCAGAAGGUGAGGCUGAUACUGCAAGAGGUUGCCAGGACUUUCUGUUCCCUCCGGGUCCAAUCUGAGGCGUCAUUAGCAAACUAAUAAACUGGCUGCAGAUGUUGAGCCAACAGCAGGCACGUUCCUCAGGAGCAUCCCUGCUAACUCUUGGCUUUGGGAAGCAAUCAGCUCAUCCCUGUGUUUCUCUUUGUGCCCACUCUCUGCCCCACUUCUUCCCUCCUGCCUGGAAUUUUAGGAGAAAAGAAGAAAAAAUAGAAACAGGAAACAAAGCGGGAGCUUCCUCAAAUCAAUUUUUUCAAGUUGAUUUAUUUUCUUUAUAUUGCAGUGGAUGGAGCUCUGUGGCCUUACUGUUUCUCUCGGAAAAUAGAAGUAUUUGUGCCAGUCACAGCAGUGCCAGCACAGAGGUGGCUCUGGCAAUUGGCAAACACCAAUGCCAUACCCAUACCCCGCUGACCCCACCAGAUCCCUCGUGGCCGAAUGGUGUGGGUACGGCAGUAGCGAUGCUGGAGGAGGCAGGCGCUGCCCUGCAUGGGGCCGGAUCUGGGUCCUUGGGGGCAGGAAUACACCAGGGCUGGAGUUUCAUGGGGAAUAGGAAUCCGCCGUGCCCAGGUGGGGCUGCGGCUUCUAAAGUGCCUCUUAAGCUUUCCUGUAUCCUGCUAGCGAGGGAAAAAACUCACAAGGGGAUCCUGCCUGUUCACCUAGCCCUGAAGGGAGAAAAGAGAGGGAUCCCCGAGGCUGGGAGGGCUGCUCUACCCCAAAGCCCAUCUCCAGGCAGGGGGCCGAGGGAGAGGCAUCCUGCUCGCUUCUUUCUGCCUCUAGCUCUGCUUUUUGUGCUGCCCCAGGUAGCGGCCCCAGCGCAUCCCCUGCCGCGGCAGCGCUGUGCUGCACGGAGCAGCACAUUUCCCCCGAGUUACUUAUUAACCACCGUUCGUUUGACAGGAUCGAUAUUUCAAGCUAGGGAGUAAACACUUAAGAAGUAAUGCUCCUCUCUGCUCUCUUUUUCCUCGGCAAAAUGAUUUAUUUUAUAAAAUGCAUCUGCCUGGCAGGGAGGCUGGAGCCCCGUGGCUUUUAUCCGCGGGAUAUGCAAAGCGCAUUUAUUUCGUCUUUUAUCUCUCAUAUUGCGCGUUGAUCCCAUACAUAUAGAUUGAUUUUGUUCAGGUAGAUAAUGAAAAGUCAAGUGGAAAAUUUACACAAAGGCACUCAGGAUCUCCACUUUCUAUUGGUAUAUAAAUUGGUUUAUUACUUCAUUCCCUUAAACAGCGACUUUCACGCUGGGGAACACUUUAAAAUAUAUCAUGUUUAAACACAGAACCAUUUACCUUCCGUGUGGUUUCUCUCUUUCCAUCGGUAAUUUCCUCGCCACUUUUGCUAAUUACCGAAGAUAUUUGUGUUUAAACAAGGGCCCCACCAGCAGCAAUCCGUCUCCCUCCUCCUCCUGCUCCCAGCAUCAAACCACCCCAACCAGAGCUCCCGGCGCUGGGCACGGGGAUGGUGACAAAGCCUGGCAGCGGGCUCUAAUUCCCCGUAAGCAGCUUUGGCUUCGCCACCCCAAGGCAGUGAAUGGAGGGCACUGGACGGGAGAGCGCAGCUCGGAACAAAACCGGCAGGAAACGUUAUUAAUAAACAUCUUCUGGACAUUUGGUGGCUCAUCUAGGCUGCUCCAGCUUAAAGCAAUUAAUUCAGGAUACUGACAUAAACUCUCCAGCUCUUUGACAGCUUGGAGCUGAAAUAAAAAUGCUAGUUCUCCAGGGAAAAGGAGAGGAUAGUUGGCUCUUUUCUGGACUGUUUGCUUAUAGGCCCAGAGAGCAAUCUUCCUUGCAGAAUGAAAUGCAAGGACACAAACAAUGUACCGGAGAGAGAAUAGAAGAUGGGAAUGAACAGUUUGAACUAUUUGCUCAGCAGAAGGGCAGCCACAAUGCUCAACCAAUGGCUUUCCCAUGCAUCAACCGGGCUUCUUAGGCCCUUUUGUUGUUCAUCCUCUUCCUCUGACCAGAUAAGAGCACAGCUGCACGGCCGUCGACUUAGCCACGCAAAUCUGGUGCCGCGCGGAGCCGCGUCCCUGCGGAGCUCGAGGACAAGGUGACACCGGGCAGCGGCACAUCCAGCAACCCCCGCAUUCAGUGCCACCUCCCCACAGCCAGGCUGCUGACCCCUGCCCUCCCCUUGCCCCCUUCCUGCCUCCGUUGCCCAUUGCCCAGGUGGUGCUAUGCUGCUCCGACCCAAACGCCAGCUCCAACCGUGAUGCUACACCGCUUCGUGCCGCCCCAGGCUGGGAUUCGGUGAGCAAGGCUGGAACAAGGUUUGUUUAGCUUGAAAGGGUUUGACGAGGUGAAAAGGCAAAGCGCCGAGGACUAAAGAAAACGCCUGCCUGGCUGAGAUCACACGGAGCACUCGUCGUCAAAGAGCACACCUGCAGGAAGCACCGAGUUUAAACACUGCUGUCACAAAAACCUGAGAAACCUCCGGGUAUUUCAUUGUGGGCUUUUUUUUUUGUCUCUUUUCCCCCUUCUCCCCUACUGGGUGGUCAGGAGAGCAGGAGGGCUCCCAUUGUCUGCAGAGCUGACCCCACGUGUCCCUGCCAUGCCAGCACCUGGCCGACACCGCAACGCCCCAAUCCAGCCCCAAUCUCCAGCCCAGCGCCCGGCAUUGGGCUGCUUAAUGAGACCCUAACGAGGUGCUCAGCCUUCAUUUCCAAAACGCUGCGACGCAGACAAAGGGAAAGUGCAGUCAGCUCCGAGUAAUUUGUGCCGCGCUCCCGGCGAAUGAAUUUAGGGGAGCAAAUAUCGUUAUGCGGGAUUUAAAUUAAAGUUGACACUAAUGUAAAUACGGCAAUGCAACCGGCUGUUUAAGAAGUGUGAUGAGGGUACAGUUUUAAUCAGGUCCUUUUAACUCAGGUGGCAUUUUAAAUCCUCGCCGGUUCAUUUGGAUAACAGUCCCAGAGGAUGUCCUGGAGUGGGAUGGUGAGGGAUGGUUGUCCCGGGAGCUCACCUGGUGAGCAGUGAAUGCAGUGUUGGACGCUGCAGAUGGAUGGACCCCCCCUGCCAAGGGCUGGGUAACAAAGGCAGAGGCGGCAGCUAAAAGGGUUGGUAAUAAAUUCUUGCGGGGUCGGUCAGCGCCUGCCAGAUUUCCCCUGGCGCUCUUGAACAAUCUGCUUCCAGCCUAAAUCAUAGAGCUGAGGCUUGGGGGAAAAAGGGAAAAAAGAAAAAAAAAAAAAAAGAGGAAAGAGCGGAGACCGCCUCACCUACUUCAAAGCCUGAACAGCGCAGAGGUGCUUCACAAUAACAAUAGCACUGGCUGCAGCCUGGAGGAGCUCCAUAACAGGAGCUCUGUAACCUGGCAAGACUCAGAGUUACGGUUACCAGAACAAUAUUUGGCAAGGGAAUUCUCCUGGUUCAUUUUUGUCAAAGGGAACAUAACGCCACUGGCAGGGAUAUGGUGCCAGCACGGCGCUGCGUUGGGUUCAGGCUGCAGUAGUGCCUGGCUUUUCUGGGCAGAGGGUUCAAUACCUAAUAGUAAUAAUAGUAAUAAUAAUCAUAUCACCAACAUCCACUCUGGGGAAGAAAGAAACCUUCUCUUGAGGUUUUCAGACAGCUGGCUGCCUCCAUGCCAUGCGUGCAGGAUGCCCGUGCUGAGCUCAUGUGAAGUUGAGGGUUAAGGUGGGGGGUAGGGUCAGGGCCCCACGUUAACCCAGAGUUUCUCUGGCUCCCGGCCCCACUCGGAGCUGCAGAGCCCUGCCGGUCCCUGCAGGGUAUUGCAUCUUCUCGGAGCUGUCCUAAUCCCCCCGUGUGACUCAGCGCUGUUAAAAUACCAAUGAGAAUAAUAAAAUGGGUUAUAAUGCUAUUAGGUAUUCCCCUUAGCUAUCCUGGCUACCCAAGGAGGAUGGAGUGGGAUGGGGAAGGGAGAGAGGAUGCAAUGGGCAUGGGCAAGGGAGGAUCCUGCAGCUGUCCAUUGGGCUGGAGCUAGGAUUUGGGGGAAGGAAGUGGCUUCUUGCCCGGGUUUUGUUCUGUGGAGGAUCCCCAGGUGGGGUGAUCCUACCCGCAGCCCCCCCCCCCCACCAGCCCCUGCCCUUUGCACAGAUGCCUAUGUCCACAAACCCCC